rnacentral:misc_RNA from 1 species
AGUGCACCAAUCCUGAAGAUUUUGAGAAACCCACUCUAAGAUAGCAAGUGCUGCCAACCAAUGUUCGAUAUAACAAUCUACGUGAUUAAUUGACAUCAGGUUUGCCAACUUCGUUCGCUUGAACAUGACUUGAAUCAGCGUAUAGCCGAGUACGCACUUUAAUAUUUUAAUAUUGUUGGACUUUAAGACCCUGUCUUGAAGAUCCCUACUUUAACGUCGCGUGUAGACCAGGCACGAGCCUUUUGGAGAAGAUUUCGGAUUCAAUACUAGAAAAGGCGAUAUCUCGACUUUAAAUCAAACAUCGAUUGCGAGCAGUUCGAAAGCGACGCAGUGAUUGGUUAUGAAAUUAUUGACAAAUACGGCUUCAAUUUGACAGCUCAACAAGAAUUCGCC